GUGCAACUAAUUUACUUUGUUGCAAAAAAAAGUUUUUAAUCCACUUGAUACCCUUUCCCCUUUGCCCUAAUUUUCCUUGGAGGAGGCCGCGCGUGUAGGAGAUUUCGUUGUCAUGAUUUCCGACAAGGUAAGGUCUUCACCUCUCUCUUCCAACUCCGACGAGUCUCCCGACACUCGGCCGACGGCAACUGCCACUGGUCGACCGCGGGAACAUGCGGCUGGCCCUGGCGAGGGAGGAGUCUGAAGCACAAGAGGGAUUGCUCCUGGCGAGGGACAUCCGGUGAUGAUGUUGAGCGGAAGGCAUCAGUUAUGGUAUCAUCGUUAAAAUCAUCGUUGAAGGAAGUGUGUAGCCUAGAAGGCUUGAUGGAGAGAAUGGAGCUCUAUAUGAGCGAAAAAGUUGCAAGGAGGCCCUCAUUAGGAUGAGUCAAGUUUGCAAGGUUAGCAGCAGCUGAAACCUUUCAACUUACUCAUUGCAUUCACAUUUUACUGUUUAUUGAACUUUGUGUAAUGCUCAAUUUAUCCUAACAUGUUGUGGCUUCCCGAUUAGUUUCUCAAAGACCAACAGAUUGUUUGCUUGAUGAAUAAUUAUCAGUUGCAGUCCUUGUCCUUUGUACUGUGCCUUGGCUGGAACGUUAUGGAAGAAAUUGUAAUGGUUAUUUAAUUUAAUCUUGAUGUAAUCAUUGUAUGUAAAGUUUGUAGCUUAGUUAAUAUAUCAUACGUACUUCUUCACGGACUAAAACAUCAUCAGUGUGUUUCUUUUGAAGUUUGCUGGUGAUUCUUAUAUGUUAAAGAAAUUGUUAUUGCUAAAGACAGAUUUCUCAUUUCAUAUUUCAUAUUUCAUUAUUUAGAGCAUAGAUGAAGGAAGACUGAAAAUGAAAGCAAGCUGCCCAAUUGUAACCGAUCUCAGGUUGAAGGAAAAUGCAAUUAGAACUUAAUGAGCUAUAAUCCAAUGUGGCUCUGUGUUGGAUUGCAUAUAAUAUUUGGCGAUUACUCUUUUCUUUCUAAUGAAGAAGGAAAAUCAGAUGAAGAGUUUGUAUUUCUCGAGAUGGUAAUAGAAACACAAUUCUUUUCUCAAGUGGAACUUGCAAGAUCUUUUGCAUAUAAUAAGUUGGUUGAGGGCAUGCAUAAGACAGGUUAUCAUGAAGCUUUGGGAAGUGUGAUCUUGAAGAGAUUUUUGUUGCUUGUCGUUUCACUUGACAAAAGUUUCUAUCAAAAAUAAUGCAUGGGGAAGGAAAUCUUCUAGUACAUCUUCUCACUCUGGGUUACAAAGUGAAUCACCAGCAAGUAAUAUGGUUUCAUGUUCAUCCAAUUUUAUAGCCAUCUUUUGAAAAUGCUUUCAGCUACUUUUUGUUAUGCAGUUCCAUUUUUUGUUUACGCUUCUCAUUUGUGUGCUUUGUAUGUUUAACAAACAUCUCUUUACUAACAGAAUCCAAUUUCAGAAUAUGAGUUUAAUGUGAAAGAUUUAUCUGAAGAAAUUCAGGAUGGUGUAGUGCUUUCUAGGGCUAUUCAAGUAUUGCAAAAUGAUGCAUCUAUACUAUAAG